GCUGCCAUCCCGGCGGGCGGCUGCAAUCAGCGGAGUGCCAGCCAGCAGGUGGAGACGCACGAAAGCAAUCCCAGCGCACGGACAGCCUGCCCUGGGAUUCCCAAAGCCCCGAGAGCCACGGAACACCGCCGCUGCCUCCAUGGAAAAGUUCGGAACUAAACGUCUUGGAAUGCUGACGGGACGUGUGACGGAGCAGCCGCGGCUGAGGAGCGUCCAGCGCCUUUCAUGUCUCAGUUUGCAGCACUGAGAUGAAAUCAAUGACUUCUGGGCUGUCACCCCAACAGAAAAAUCAGAGGCCAUGUAAGCCAGCUUGUCACACACCCUGCCUGAUGAUAAGAAAUAUCUCUGCUGCUGGUACCCUUGGUUCUGAGCAUGUGAUGGCAUUUCCACCUAUUCAAGAAGCCUGAUGAACUCAAAGCACUUACACAAAACUGCAUCCUUCUUCAGGACCUCACAUCUGAGGAUGCCUCAAGGAAAGCCCCUCUUUUUGAGGCCCUAUUUGUUCUUGGCUUCAGUGUUCCCUGGGUGGAUCUGGCAAAGCAAGGCCAGAAUGCAACAUCAAUGAACAAGUGUGCUGGCGUCACUGAAAAAUGAAAACAAUUGGAAAAUGACAAUCAAAGGAAGGUGAAAGAUCCAGUCCCAGAGCUUCCUGCUGCAGCUGAGAGUUUAUUCAGAUGGCCUCCAGACAAUCUAAGCCAGAGACAGGGCACACUGACUUACUAUGGUGUUUAUUCCCUUAGCUUUUUUAGCUGUCAGAUGCAAGAGCAGUCUGUCCUGGAUGCCCUGCCAUUUCCACACAUCUUCAGGUUUAGGCUUUAAUUUAUGGUGAUGCUAUGGAAGCAACAUGGAAUUUAUAAAUGAAAGAUAUAAAUGAAUGAGAAAGAGCAAGAAAUUUCUAUCCUGUAGCAUCUUUCAUUAUGUAGUUAUGUAGGGUAUUAUUUCUAAAGCAAUUAAAUACACUUGUUACCAGUAUUUCCCAUACAGUUGUGGAAAGGAACCAUGGCAUGCAGAAAAUCAGCCCCAAAUCAUGUCAAGUCUUUCCUGGAAGAAGUUAGUUUAGGUAGUAGCUACUUUGAGUUAGAUAAUUUACUUGUCAAAACAAUCCUUAACACAAGAACAAGGACAAACUUGUGUAUGUGGGAACCAGCAAAGUCAAGUUACUUAACCAAGUUAAACACCUGGUUAGUUAGUUGAUCUUUGCUGCACAUGAGUUAAUAACCUUUGGUAUCUUCACAGUGAGAGCUAAACUCACUGGAGGAAUCUCCACUGAAGGAAUUUGCAGGCUCCACCACUGGAAAUCAAGGUGUUUUUUUCUCCUAGAAGGGCGGGAAAGGAUAAGGCUUAAGGCAAUAACAACAUCUAUUGGUUAUCAGGAUAUGCACAUUGGAGAGUGCAUAUAGAAUAAACAGAAUGUUUUGCCUGGCUUAUUCCAUUGUAGAGAAAACCAUGGUUUUCCCAGCAGGAAUCAUUUGCCUUUAUCCUUGCUGUAGCCUCAUUGAAACCUGGGGAUUGUGCUAAGAUUUUGGGAUUUCUAGCUCUAAAAUCAAGUUUCUUAAGCAACAGAAAGGAAACAUCUUGUUCAGUGCAGUAUUCAUGGAAUUACCAGGGCAGUUGCAUCUCCACUGCAAGUCUAAAGAAGUUCACGGAUUUGUUAAACGCUAAAAUUUGCACUAGACUGAACUACGAGUACAUUCUUGAAGUCUGCUUCUAUGUUAUCCACACACAUGGUCAGGAAGAUCGUAUGCCUAAAUGAAUGUUUAAAAUAUACUUACUAUAACAUCAUUUUGAAAUUCAACAUUUUGUUGAUUACUGUUGCACUGAUUUAGUUGCUUUAUCACAAGUUUUGCAUUUAGUGAGUCUAAACCUAGGAUCUGUCUCAAGCAAUAUGGCAGUCCUAUUACCCAAAUGCUACAGCCUUAUUUUAUGACACAAUUUUUAUUCUAAAAGCUCUUCACAAAAGCCUGGAGGUCACCUUGCAUGAUAAACAGACAGUACAGGUCACUAAAAUUUCCUGGAGGCAGCAAUUAUGGCAAUUUUAAGCAUGUUUGAUGCUGUAUUUAACCUUAGAUGGAUGCUUAAGAUCUUUUGUCCAUUUGAUUAAACAGAUAGCACAAGGGAUGCAUCACAGCAAUCUGCUUUUAAUGACCUACAAGACCCAAAAUGUGUCUGCUCUACAAUGCUGGAGUACAAUGAAUAGAAUCACAGAAACAUUUAGGUUGGGAAAGCCCUAUAAGAUCAUGGAGUUCAACAACCAACACAGCACAGCCAAGGCCACCAGUAACCCAUGUGCCCAAAUGCCACAUCUGUAUGGCUUUUAGAUCCCUCUGGGGAUGGUGGCUCCACUAUCCCUGGGCAGCCUGUUCCAAUGCCUGGCCAACACUUCCACGGGCAAAUUUUCACUAAUAUCAAAUCUAAACCUACCCCGGUGCAACUUGAGGCUCUUUCCUCCUGUCCUGUCCCUGUUCCCUGCGAGCAGAGCCCAAUCCCACCUGGCUGCAUGGUCCUUUCAGGGAGUUGUGGAGAGUCAGAAGGUCCCCCCUGAGCCUUCUUUUCUCCAGGCUGAGCCCCUUUCCCAGCUCCCCCAGCCUCCUCUCCUGCCUUGCCCACCCCAUGACAAUAGGGCUCUGGCCCACUGCUGCUCUCCUCACCCUCAGAGCAAGAGCUGGCAAGUGAAAAAAAAAAAAGCAUUUCAGCAAGAUUAAUCUGCAAUAAUUAUUUAUUGCAAAUGUAUUUAUUCUAUUUAGGGAGAAACUCCUGUAAGGCUCCAGAUGAGACAUUUCUCACGUAUAUUACUUAGCUUUUCCUCAGGCCCUAAUGAAUUGCUUUAAAUUACAGACUUAGGUAUUGAUUAGCCUCAUUCAAUUGAAAUCUAGGCUUAGCAAUCUAUACUUGUCUAUAGUUUAUUUGUGAUAUUAUUCCUAAUAAAGAGCUGCAAUUAAUCCACAUCAAGAAAAAUCAAUUAAUACAGAUUUGUAUCACAAAGAAAGAAAUCCUCCUCAUAUCUGCCCACUAAUCCUGAAGCUUAGGUCUUUCUUUGCUACCAAGGCGGACAGAUAAAAAAUAUUGAUUUCACCCUAUUUUUACAAUUUAUAGUGAUACAAUAAUAGCACACAGAACAGACGGGCUUAUCAUUUAAAACUAUUUUUAUACAUGAUGAUAGAUGAGGACACUCAAUGCCUUUGUUCUCCGCAUUAUUUAUAAUUAUUAAUAUGAUGGACUAGGAGUUCUGU